rnacentral:rRNA from 1 species
GGGCGUCUCUAUCUCAUUGCGAGAGGAGGCGCACCUAGAGCGUACACGCUGAUACCCGAAAGAUGGUGAACUAUGCCUGGCCAGGACGAAGCCAGGGGAAACCCUGGUGGAGGUCCGUAGCGAUUCUGACGUGCAAAUCGAUCGUCGGAGCUGGGUUUAGGGGCGAAAGACCAAUCGAACCAUCUAGUAGCUGGUUCCCUCUGAAGUUUCCCUCAGGAUAGCUUGCGCUCGGAAACAACGAGUCUCAUCCGGUAGAGCGAAUGAUUAGAGGCCUUGGGGUCGAAACGACCUCAACCUAUUCUCAAACUCCAAAUAGAUGAGAACCCCGGCUUUCUUAAAACCUGUUUUAUGAAGCCGGGGGCUCGGAUCAGAGUGCCAAGUGGGCCAAUUUU